GUGGUUGUUAGAUCCAAACUCGUGGUAAUUUUGAAUCAUUUUAACCAUUAGCCUACUUUUUAAUUCGCGGUCGUUUAGUUUUUUUAUGUAAAAAAAAUCUAGGGAUACAAAACUAAACAAUAAAACAAAACGAAUGCGUUGCACACCUCAGCCAGCAGAAUUGACUCAUCUCAUACAAUUCAGAACAAAGAAAUCAACUUUAAAGACAAAAUAGAUAACGCAUGAGACAAUAAAGACAGAUAUGGUAUAAAAGAGAUGUUUCUUGGCUGCUGUUCCAAAGUUGAAAGAUCAACUUCAGCAGCAUCAGAAGGAACGUUCAAAAGCGCUCUACUCAAUAUUAAGAAAUAUAUAUUAAACGUACAAAAACAUGCUGUGUGCUAGUUGUGGGAAAGAACUAAGCUUACAUCUUCAAAUUCCGUUAUUCAAUAAUUGCGAAAGUAACACGCAGAAGUGCGGCGAUAAGUGCAGUUGCGACAAGGGGUGCAAAUGCCACAACAAGCAGGUGCAUGGCGAAGUGGACAAAGAGCAUGGACAUCAUCAUGGUCAGGAUCAUGCGCAUCAGCAUGGACCACAUUGUGGCACAAAGUGAGGAAAUGCGGAAAAUAUCUUUUUGUUUCGUACCAAAUUGUAAAAAGUAAAUGCUUUUUAAACUUUUAUACAUAAAAGAUGAUUAAAAACAAAUUAGUAUUGUAAAACUC